GAUGAACGCUGGCGGCGUGCCUAAUACAUGCCAGUCGAGCGAACAGACGAGGAGCUUGCUCCUCUGACGUUAGCGGCGGACGGGUGAGUAACACGUGGAUAACCUACCUAUAAGACUGGGAUAACUUCGGGAAACCGGAGCUAAUACCGGAUAAUAUAUUGAACCGCAUGGUUCAAUAGUGAAAGACGGUUUUGCUGUCACUUAUAGAUGGAUCCGCGCCGCUUUAGCUAGUUGGUAAGGUAACGGCUUACCAAGGCAACGAUGCGUAGCCGACCUGAGAGGGUGAUCGGCCACACUGGAACUGAGACACGGUCCAGACUCCUACGGGAGGCAGCAGUAGGGAAUCUUCCGCAAUGGGCGAAAGCCUGACGGAGCAACGCCGCGUGAGUGAUGAAGGUCUUCGGAUCGUAAAACUCUGUUAUUAGGGAAGAACAAAUGUGUAAGUAACUAUGCACGUCUUGACGGUACCUAAUCAGAAAGCCACGGCUAACUACGUG
rnacentral:rRNA from 1 species